rnacentral:RNase_P_RNA from 1 species
CCAGACGGUCGGAUGGCCGCGCGCGGGCAAUGGGGAAACCCGUCCGCGUGAGGAAAGUCCGGGCUCCACGGGAAUACGGUGCCGGUUAACGGCCGGCGGGGGUGACCCUAGGGAAAGUGCCACAGAAAGCAAACCGCCUGUCGCUUCGGCGGCGGGUAAGGGUGAAAGGGUGCGGUAAGAGCGCACCGCGCGGUCGGUAACGGCGGCGGCAUGGUAAACCCCACCGGGAGCAAGACCGAGUAGGGGCGGCAUAUGGCGGAUUUCCGCGCCGCCGCCCGGGUGGGUCGCGUGAGGCGUUCGGCGACGGACGUCCCAGAUGAAUGGCCAUCUCCCGUUCGCGCUUCGGCGGGUACGGGGACAGAACCCGGCUUACAGACCGUCUGGCCUU